GAUGAUUCUAGUACGUUCUAGGAAGACUGCUGAGGAGAGAUUCAACGGCGGCAGAGAACAUAACCCUGCAAGGCCGCGGCUACAAGAUUCAUCUCCGACGAUGACGGAAGAUGACGCCGAGGAAGACGCCCAGAACAGAUUGUACCCACCGCACCCUCUUGCCCGGCUUCCUUCAGCUCCCAGGAAGAAGCUGAAGCCCUGGAAUUGGCUGUGCCCUGAUGCGGGGUCGGCUAUGACAGCGUCCCGCCGUUCUUCAGAGAUUGUUGUACUCCAGGCUGCAAUAUAAACCAUUGGGGAGCUUUGAAGGAGAAUAGAAAUAAAAGAUACCAUCAAAGGAAUGUACGAGAGGAA
rnacentral:lncRNA from 1 species